CCACGCGUACCCAUCCCGAACACGACCGUUAAGCCUUCCAGCGCCGAUGGUACUUGGACCGAAGGGUCCUGGGAGAGUAGGACGUUGCCAAGCA
rnacentral:rRNA from 1 species